UACAGAGACUGCAAGCGUUGUUCGGAUUCAUUGGGCGUAAAGGGCGCGUAGGCGGUGCUCUAAGUCGAUGUGAAAACUCUGGCUCAACCCAGAGCCUGCAUCCGAAACUGGAGUGCUAGAGUUCUGGAGGGGGUAGCGGAAUUCCUGGUGUAGCGGUGAAAUGCGUAGAUAUCAGGAGGAACACCGGUGGCCGAAGGCGGCUACCUGGACCGGCAUUGACGCUGAGGCGCGAAAGCUAGGGGAGCAAACGGG
rnacentral:rRNA from 1 species